AUGCCUCCAACCAAAAUUGCAAGGGCACAAGUAUUUUUUCAACAGCCUAUGCAUUGCACAAUUGAUACUAUUAUGUUCGUAUUAAAAACACUUCUAUUUUUCCUCAUCAAUUUAGAAUCACAUAAUGCAUGCAUAUUUGCAUUUGCCCCUCUUAUCUUUCAGUGUAUUGGUGCCAAUGCUGCAUUUGGAGUUGGAGAGGCCCAGGCCACCUGCUGCAAGAGGCAAAUGGUCACCUACAGCCGCAGGAGAGGAUCACAGGUGUUCUUCCGGCAGUUUCAAUUUAGUCGGGCGGUUGCCAUCAUCGUGAGACUGCCGACUGGAGGAACUACAAUGGCUCUUUGUUCCAGCCAUAUCCGAUCCCUCGGGGGCUGGAGCUUUCCGGUCACCUAA
rnacentral:rRNA from 1 species